CUAGGGAUUAGAUACCCUAUUAGUUACAUUUAAAAUUUAGUAGUAAGUGUUGAACAUGAAACUAAAAUUAAUUGGCGGCUUUUUAAAUAUUUUAGAGGAAUUUAUUCUAUAAAGGAUUUAACACCAAAAUCUUACUUUUAUUUGUAUUAAAACAGUUUACAUACCUCUAUUUUAAAAUAUUUAAAUAUAUUUUAUUAAUACUAUUAUUUUAGUAAUUUUUUAGGUAAAGGUGUAGCUUAUAUAAAAGAAUGAAAUAAAUUAUAAUAAUUUUUAUUAUUUUAACGAGAUUUAAAUGUAAAUAAUAAUUUAGUAAAAUUUAAAAGUAAAAUUAGUAUAUUUAGCUAAUUUGAAUUAGAUUUUAUAAGUGUACAUAUUGCCCCGUCACUCUCUUUUUAGAGAUAAGUCGUAACAUAGUAA
rnacentral:rRNA from 1 species